AUAAAGUGAUGAUAAAAAAAAAAUAUAAAAAAGGUGAUGCGGAACAUAAAAAAAAUGUAAUAAAAGAUUUCUUCUUAUAUUCAUUUUAUUUUAUUUCUGCCAAAAAAGAAAAAUGAGCCUUAUAUAGAAGUCAUAGUUACUCUGAUUA
rnacentral:sRNA from 1 species